rfam:Paramecium tetraurelia chromosome undetermined scaffold_78, whole genome shotgun sequence.
GCCUGUUUGCCCGAGCUGGUUAAGGGGGCAGACUUAAGAUCUGCUGGAGCCUACUCCGCGUCGGUUCGAAUCCGACAGCAGGCA